ACCCUUCCACCUGGCAGGGGAGAUACCAUGAUCAUGAAGGUGGUUUUCCCAGGGCGAGGCUUAUCCAUUGCACUCCGGAUGUGCUGGCCUCUGCGAUUUCCCCAAAUGUGGGAAACUCGACUGCAUAAUUUGUGGUAGCAGGGGACUGUGGUCGCGCUUUCCCUGG